rnacentral:misc_RNA from 1 species
GAGAAGAACGUAGCGAAAUGCGAUACUUGGUGUGAAUUGCAGAAUCCCGUGAACCAUCGAGUCUUUGAACGCAAGUUGCGCCCGAAGCCAUCAGGUUGAGGGCACGUCUGCCUGGGCGUCACAUAUCGUUGCCCAAUGCCUAUUGCAGUGCAAUAGGAAUUUCUAGGGCGAAUGAUGGCUUCCCGUGAGCGUUGUUGCCUCGCGGUUGGUUGAAAAUCGAGUCCUUGGUAGGGUGUGCCAUGGUAGAUGGUGGUCGAGUUAGAACGAUACCGAUCAUGUGCAUGCUCCCCAAAAUAUGGCCUCUAUGACCCACACGCGUCUUUUGACGCUCAUGACGAGACCUCAGGUCAGGCGGGGCUACCCGCUGAAUUUAAGCAUAUCAAUAAGCGGAGGA